UCACGAUGAUGAGAAUGGUUCAAAACAUUCGCGGUUUCCACCAGAACUACAGGUGUUGGCAACUUCCUUCCUUGGAUGUCUGAGUGA
rnacentral:snoRNA from 1 species